rnacentral:rRNA from 1 species
GAGUUUGAUCCUGGCUCAGAGUGAACGCUGGCGGCAGGCCUAACACAUGCAAGUCGAACGGACGUAGCAAUACGUCAGUGGCGCACGGGUGAGUAACGCGUGGAUAUCUGCCUUUUGGUUCGGGAUAACCUUGGGAAACUAGGGCUAAUACCGAAUGGUUCCUACGGGAUAAAGAUUUAUCGCCAAAAGAUGAGUCCGCGUCCGAUUAGCUAGUUGGUGUGGUAAUGGCGCACCAAGGCGACGAUCGGUAGCUGGUCUGAGAGGACGAUCAGCCACACUGGGACUGAGACACGGCCCAGACUCCUACGGGAGGCAGCAGUGGGGAAUAUUGGACAAUGGGGGCAACCCUGAUCCAGCCAUGCCGCGUGAGUGAUGAAGGCCUUC